rnacentral:rRNA from 1 species
AAGUCGUAACAAGGUAACCGUAGGUGAACCUGCGGUUGGAUCAUUACUGAUUUGAUUCAGCCUAAAAGUUCCUUUUCUCUCUCUCGAUUGGGGGAAAAGUUGAGCUUUUGGGUUUGAAUACUGACACUUGUGCACUGUAAUUGUCUUUUGGGUAGUAGUCUUUCUGCAGGGGCUUUUGAUGAAAGACGCUGCCCUGCCAUUAAACUUGCGCCGUGGGAACACUAUAAAAUUGUCUGAAUUUUUGAAAUUUAAACAACUUUUGACAACGGAUCUCUUGGCUCUCGCAACGAUGAAGAACGCAGCGAAAUGCGAUACGUAAUGUGAAUUGCAGAAUUCCGUGAAUCAUCGAAUCUUUGAACGCACAUUGCACUCUAUUUCGGUAGAGUAUGCCUGUUUGAGAAUCUUUUGUAUUCAUUUGUGGUACUUUCUUUCAGGGAGUACUGCGAGAUAUGAACUUUCAGGUCAAUUUGUUGGUGUUGGGGCGACCUGUGGUUUGAAAUUGAUAACUGGCUUUGGGUGCUCUGAUCUGAAGACGUGGGAAAAGUAUUGAAUAGAGGUCAACUCUUAGUACAUUGCUUAGUACCUGUCAAGGUCAAGAUAGUGAGUUUACUCCAAUAAGCCAGUCCACAAAAGAACCACUGUGUAGUUGUGACUACGAAGAGACCACUACUGGGAAGUGGGUAACAAAAGUGGUUGAACCAUGGUCUCAAAUCAGGUAGGAAUACCCGCUGAUCUUAA